CCUUCAUGAGAUCUUUAAUUGACCACUUGGACUUUAAAGCUCUGGAACUAAAAUUGUACAAAGCAAAGCAACUCUUUCUAUGCAAUAUUGAUACUGAAAGCAAAAGCAUCAGUGUGGAACAACUCUUGGUUGAGCUGAAGGCUGGUGGGAUUAGCAAGGAGCACGAAGAAGCUGUGCAGCUGGAAUUAAAUCAGAUCAAAAAUCUUGAUCUUCUGGAUUUUCUAACAUAUUUGCCACUCUUUGUACUUAUACAUAACUCUGUCAUAACGAAUCCCUUAGAUGAUUCCAGAAAUAUCUGAACAACAUACUUUUAACAAAAUAGGCUAUAGUAAAACGUACUUCUAAGUAAUUUGUCUUUUAAAAAUAUCAAAAUACAUCAAUAUUAAAAUAA